rnacentral:tRNA from 1 species
GGUGCUGUGGCUCAGUGGGUUAAAAGCCCUGGCCUGAAGUGCCAGCAUCCAAUAUGGGUGCUGGUUCGAGACCCAGCUGCUCCU